UACGUAGGCAGCGAGCGUUGUUCGGAGUUACUGGGCGUAAAGGGUGUGUAGGCGGUUCUCUAAGUUUGGUGUGAAAUCUCCCGGCUCAACCGGGAGGGUGCGCCGAAAACUGGAGGGCUAGAGUGCGGGAAGGGAGAGUAGAAUUCCUGGUGUAGCGGUGAAAUGCGUAGAUAUCAGGAGGAAUACCGGUGGUGUAGACGGCUCUCUGGACCGCGACUGACGCUGAGACACGAAAGUGUGGGUAGCAAACAGG
rnacentral:rRNA from 1 species